rnacentral:lncRNA from 1 species
GGUGUGUGCUAGGUUGCCUUUUAAAAGAUGUGUGCAAUUAGCACACCUUGAUGUGGCACUAAUGAAAAAUAGCCACGUGGAAUCCACUAUUCAUAUCGCAAUUAUAACUUUGUUUUACAGAUUUGCCGGUAUGUUUCUCAUAUUUGCAUGUUUACCCAAUCUGCAUUUAAUGACAUUUUUUUGACUAAUUGCAUUUAAUGACAUG